rnacentral:misc_RNA from 1 species
CCGAGUUUACAACUCCCAAACCCAAUGUGAACGUUACCAAACUGUUGCCUCGGCGGGGUCACGCCCCGGGUGCGUAAAAGCCCCGGAACCAGGCGCCCGCCGGAGGAACCAACCAAGCUCUUUCUGUAGUCCCCUCGCGGACGUAUUUCUUACAGCUCUGAGCAAAAAUUCAAAAUGAAUCA